UACGGAGGGAGCAAGCGUUAUCCGGAAUUAUUGGGCGUAAAGCGUCUGUAGGUGGAUGUUCAAGUCUGCUGUCAAAGACCGGGGCUUAACCCUGGAAAGGCGGUGGAAACUGAAAAUCUAGAGUGCGGUAGGGGUAGAGGGAAUUCCCAGUGUAGCGGUGAAAUGCGUAGAGAUUGGGAAGAACACCGGUGGCGAAAGCGCUCUGAUAGGCCGUAACUGACACUAAGGGACGAAAGCUAGGGGAGCGAAUGGG
rnacentral:rRNA from 1 species